UCGUACGCGUUGGCCCAACUGAUUGACGGUGCUUGCACCUGAUUGACGUUGGAUUACCAACGAGUGGCGGACGGGUGAGUAACACGUAGGCAACCUGCCCAGAAGCGGGGGACAACAUUUGGAAAUAAGUGCUAAUACCGCAUAAAUCCUCAAACCACAUGGUUUGAGGCUGAAAGAUGGUUUCGGCUAUCACUUCUGGAUGGGCCUGCGGCGCAUUAGCUUGUUGGUGGGGUAACGGCCUACCAAGGCUAUGAUGCGUAGCCGAGUUGAGAGACUGAUCGGCCACAAUGGAACUGAGACACGGUCCAUACUCCUACGGGAGGCAGCAGUAGGGAAUCUUCCACAAUGGGCGCAAGCCUGAUGGAGCAACACCGCGUGAGUGAAGAAGGGUUUCGGCUCGUAAAGCUCUGUUGUUGAAGAAGAACGUGCGUGAGAGUAACUGUUCACGCAGUGGCGGUAUUCAACCAGAAAGUCACGGCUAAAUACGUG
rnacentral:rRNA from 1 species